rnacentral:rRNA from 1 species
AACGAACGCUGGCGGCAGGCCUAACACAUGCAAGUCGAGCGAGCAUUUCGGUGCUAGCGGCGGACGGGUGAGUAACGCGUGGGAACGUGCCCUUUUCUGCGGAAUAGUCCUGGGAAACUGGGGGUAAUACCGCAUACGCCCUUUUGGGGAAAGAUUUAUCGGAGAAGGAUCGGCCCGCGUUGGAUUAGGUAGUUGGUGUGGUAAUGGCCCACCAAGCCGACGAUCCAUAGCUGGUUUGAGAGGAUGAUCAGCCACACUGGGACUGAGACACGGCCCAGACUCCUACGGGAGGCAGCAGUGGGGAAUCUUAGACAAUGGGGGCAACCCUGAUCUAGCCAUGCCGCGUGAGUGAUGAAGGCCUUAGGGUUGUAAAGCUCUUUCAGCUGGGAAGAUAAUGACGGUACCAGCAGAAGAAGCCCCGGCUAACUCCGUG